UGGGGAAUUUUCCGCAAUGGGGGGAACCCUGACGGAGCAACGCCGCGUGCGGGAGGACGGCCUGUGGGUUGUAAACCGCUUUUCUCUAGGAAGAAGGUCUGACGGUACUAGAGGAAUCAGCAUCGGCUAACUCCGUGCUAGCAGCAGCGGUAAGACGGAGGAUGCAAGCGUUAUCCGGAAUUAUUGGGCGUAAAGCGUCCGUAGGCGGUUCAUCAAGUCAGUUGUUAAAGACUGCAGCUCAACUGUGGGCGAGCAACUGAAACUGAUGAACUAGAGUGCGGUAGGGGUAGAGGGAAUUCCCAGUGUAGCGGUUAAAUGCGUAGAUAUUGGGAAGAACACCAUGGGAGAAGGCGCUCUACUGGGCCGCAACUGACGCUGAGGGACGAAAGCUAGGGGAGCGAAAGGGAUUAGAUACCCCGGUAGUCC
rnacentral:rRNA from 1 species